UCCCAUAUGGCCGAGUGGCUAGGAUAUGUGGCUUUCACUCAGAAGGCCCGGGUUCGAUUCCCGGUAAGGGGA
rfam:Glossina austeni unplaced genomic scaffold Scaffold237, whole genome shotgun sequence.